rnacentral:rRNA from 1 species
AAUCAACGCUGGCGGCGUGCCUCAGACAUGCAAGUCGAACGAUUAAACUUUCCUUCGGGAAAGAUAUAAAGUGGCGUACGGGUGAGUAACACGUAAGUAAUCUACCUUCGAGUGGGGAAUAACGUUCGGAAACGAACGCUAAUACCGCAUAAUGCAGCGGCAUCAUAUGAUGACAGUUGUUAAAGCUAUUUAUGCGCUUGAAGAGGAGCUUGCGGCAGAUUAGCUAGUUGGUAAGGUAAUGGCUUACCAAGGCAACGAUCUGUAUCCGGUCUAAGGAGGACGGUCGGACACACUGACACUGAAUAACGGGUC